GGCUACGGCCAUAUCACGAUGAAUGCACCUCAUCCCGUCCGAUUUGAGAAGUUAAGCAUCGUCGAGCCACAUCAGUACUGAGGUUGGAGACAACUUGGGAACCUGUGGUGCUGUAGUCU
rfam:Naegleria gruberi genomic scaffold NAEGRscaffold_78, whole genome shotgun sequence.